rnacentral:rRNA from 1 species
AGUGAACGCUGGCGGUAGGCCUAACACAUGCAAGUCGAACGGCAGCACAGUAAGGGCUUGCUCUUACGGGUGGCGAGUGGCGGACGGGUGAGGAAUACAUCGGAAUCUACUUUUUCGUGGGGGAUAACGUAGGGAAACUUACGCUAAUACCGCAUACGACCUACGGGUGAAAGCAGGGGAUCUUCGGACCUUGCGCGAUUGAAUGAGCCGAUGUCGUAUUAGCUAGUUGGCGGGGUAAAGGCCCACCAAGGCGACGAUCCGUAGCUGGUCUGAGAGGAUGAUCAGCCACACUGGAACUGAGACACGGUCCAGACUCCUACGGUGGGCAGCAGUGGGGAAUAUUGGCCAAUGGGCGCAAGCCUGAUCCAGCCCUACCGCGUGGGUGAAGAAGGCCUUCGGGUUGUAAAGCCCUUUUGUUGGGAAAGAAAAGCAGCAGGUUAAUACCCCGCUGUUCUGACGGUACCCAAAGAAUAAGCACCGGCUAACUUCGUG